CAUAUGGACGAGGGAAGAAGUCAACGAGAUCACAUUUGCAAAGUAAAGAUGAAUCCAAAGGAAAACUGUCUGAAAUGCUAGUAGCUAAGGGAUUGAUAACACCACAAAUGUUAAAGAAACUCCAACAAGAACUUACCACAGACAAUACGGAGCGCGGCAGAAAGAAAACUAACACGAGAAACAGAAGAAAAUAAAUACAUUGUACCAUAGUUGGUUGUAAUAUAAAAUCAAAAAGUUAAAUACAGUUUACAUAGAUAA